CGUAGUGGCGGACGGGUGAGUAACGCGUGGGUAACCUGCCUUACACAGGGGGAUAACACCUGGAAACAGGUGCUAAUACCGCAUAAGCGCACAGGGCCGCAUGGCCCGGUGUGAAAAACUCCGGUGGUGUAAGAUGGACCCGCGUCUGAUUAGCUUGUUGGCGGGGUAGAGGCCCACCAAGGCGACGAUCAGUAGCCGGCCUGAGAGGGUGGACGGCCACAUUGGGACUGAGACACGGCCCAAACUCCUACGGAAGGCAGCAG
rnacentral:rRNA from 1 species